CGGGCCCUGGCGCUGCCUAUAAUGCAGUCGAGCGAACGGACGAGAGUGCUUGCACUCUCUGAUGUUAGCGGCGGACGGGUGAGUAACACGUGGGUAACCUACCUAUAAGACUGGGAUAACUUCGGGAAACCGGAGCUAAUACCGGAUAAUAUUUAGCUUCGCAUGAAGCAAUAGUGAAAGACGGUUCUGCUGUCACUUAUAGAUGGACCCGCGGUGUAUUAGCUAGUUGGUGAGGUAACGGCUCACCAAGGCAACGAUACAUAGCCGACCUGAGAGGGUGAUCGGCCACACUGGGACUGAGACACGGCCCAGACUCCUACGGGAGGCAGCAGUAGGGAAUCUUCCGCAAUGGACGAAAGUCUGACGGAGCAACGCCGCGUGAGUGAAGAAGGUUUUCGGAUCGUAAAACUCUGUUGUAAGGGAAGAACAAGUACGUUAGUAACUGAACGUACCUUGACGGUACCUUACCAGAAAGCCACGGCUAACUACGUGCCAGCAGCCGCGGUAAUACGUAGGUGGCAAGCGUUAUCCGGAAUUAUUGGGCGUAAAGCGCGCGUAGGCGGUCUCUUAAGUCCGAUGUGAAAGCCCCCGGCUCAACCGGGGAGGGUCAUUGGAAACUGGGAGACUUGAGUGCAGAAGAGGAGAGUGGAAUUCCAUGUGUAGCGGUGAAAUGCGCAGAGAUAUGGAGGAACACCAGUGGCGAAGGCGGCUCUCUGGUCUGUAACUGACGCUGAGGUGCGAAAGCGUGGGGAUCAAACAGGAUUAGAUACCCUGGUAGUCCACGCCGUAAACGAUGAGUGCUAAGUGUUGGGGGGUUUCCGCCCCUCAGUGCUGCAGCUAACGCAUUAAGCACUCCGCCUGGGGAGUACGGUCGCAAGACUGAAACUCAAAAAGAAAUUGACGGACAU
rnacentral:rRNA from 1 species